rnacentral:rRNA from 1 species
GUGAAAUAAGAUUUGUUUGCUAUCAUCAAAAUCAUAAUCUAAAAAACAUGUUUGUAAUAGUAAUGUUGAGCAAACUAAAAUAGACCCAGCAUUAGAAUUGGACUACCAUGCUGCAGCUAGAAUUUUAGUAUGGAGAAGCAUCCUCAAUGAAGGACUGGCCCAAGUACCCUAAAAGGUGUACUAGGGAGGGUGAGAGUCUCAUUCGACCUAAACCCUAUUGUAAUAUGAGGCAUUCAUGGUGAGUCAUGUUUUUUUGGGAAUGCAACCCUAAUUGGGUGAUAAAUUCCAUCAAAGGCUAAUUGUAAAUGAGAGAUCGAUUAUAAACAAGUAAUAUGAGAGAAAGAUGAAAAGGACUUUGAAAAGAGAGUCAAAGAGUGCUUGAAAUUAUCAGGAGGGAAGCAUAUGAAGGCUGAUUAUGCUUUUAGGCCCGAAGCAGAAUGGAUAUGGCUUGUCUACUACUUGGCCUAAGGCGUGGAUCAUUGCAUUCCUUCCUGAUAGUAGGAUCCUGGGCUAUCAAUGCUCGAGGAGGCAUCAUUAGGGCUAUCAGCCAACUCAUGAGCCAAUACAGUGAGCCUUUUGAGGAUCUAUAAUGCCCGUUAUAAUGGCUCAUGGGAUCACCAUUUGACCCAUUCUAAAACACAGAUGAAGGAGCCUGAUAUGCAUACCAAUCAAUGGGUGUUAAAGCCCAGUGUACAUUAGGAAGCUGAUGUGUGGGAUCCUCUUUUAUAGGUGCAUCACUGAUGCACCCAGAUCAUCUAUGAAGGGUUUGAGUGUGAGCAUGCAUGUCAAGACCCAAAAGAUGGUUAACUAUGCCUGAGCAAGGUGAAGCUAGAGGAAACUCCGAUGGAGGCCCAGGUAGGUUUAGCCUGAUAAGGAGUUCUAUAAAGUAAAGCAAAAAAAUUAGAGGCAUUAGGGGCACAACAUCCUCAACCUAUUCUCAAACUUUAAGUAGGUAGGAUGGCUAGGAUGCUUUGAUGAGCCAUACCACAUAAUCAAAGGCUCCAAGUGGGCCAUUUUUUGUAAGAAAACCUUACAAGGUAGGAUGAACUAGAAGCUUGGUUAUGGUGCCCAAUUACAUGCUAACCUAGAACCCACAUAGGGUGUUGGUCGAUUAAGACAAUAGGAUGGUGAUCAUGGAAAUCAAAAUCCACUAAGGAGAGUGUAACAACUCACUUACUGAAUCAUCUAGCCUAAAAAAUGGAUUGAGCUUAAGCUCAUGACCCACACCCAACCAUCAGGGAAAUGGCCGGCCCAGAUGGCUAGAAGGGUAUGGGGUCCGCCAUAAAAUUUGGGGUGUGAGCCCGUGCUAAGCUGCCAUUGGUGCUAAUCUUUGUGGUAGUAGUAAACAUUCAAAUGAGAGCUUUAAAGGCCAAAGGGGAAAAAGGUUCCAUGUAAAUGGAACUUGCCUUUUGGUUAGCUAAUCCUAAGAGAUGAGGGAGGUCUGCUAGAGAUAGGUGCUUCAUGCGAGCUUUAAAAGGGAGUCGGAUUAAAAUUCUUGAGCUGAAAUGUUACGGCUAACUCCAAUGUUAGGUAUUAUAGGGAAGCCAUUACGGACUUUAGGAAGAGUUAUUUUUUCUGCUUAACUAGCUACUUACCAUAAAAAUGGCUUAGCCGGCGGUAGCACCCUGGAAGAGUGCCGCAUAUUGAGCGGUGUCUAGUAAGCCCUCGAUAGCCCCUAAAAAUUUUGAGGGCUAAGUUCCAUCCACUCUCAGUCAUACUCUAAACAGCAUUAGGCCUCCAAGGUUAUUAACCUCUUAUAGAUGGAACAAUGUAAGCAGGGGAAGUCAGUAAAAUGUAUCAAUAACUUUGGGAAAAGGAUUAACUCCGAGGGCUGGGCAUGGGGGUCCUAGUCUUUAAUCCGCCAACUAUUGAUGGACUACUUGAUUUUCACUCAUGUUAAGAGCAGGCGACUGCGUGUGGGCUAGAGGACAGAGUGGGAGCGACUUUCUUGGGGGCCUUCCCCAUGAAUUGAACAACCAACAUACAACUGGUACAGUCAAGGGAAUCUAACGGUUUAAUCAAAUAAAGUAUUGUGAUGGUCCCAGUGGAUGCUCACGCAAUGUAAUUUCUACCCAGUCCUCUAAAUGUCAAAGUGAAGAAAUUCUGCCAAGCACAGGUAAACAGCGAGAGUAUCUAUAACUCUUUUAAGGUAGCCAAAUGCCUCAUCAUCUAAUUAGUGAUGUGCAUUAAUGGAUUAAUGAGAUUCCCACUAUCCCUAUAUAUUAUCCAGAGAAACCAUAGCCAAGGGAACAGGCUUGGUAGAAUAAACGAGGAAACAAAACCAUGUUGAGCAUGACUCUACUCUAACUUUAUGAAAUGACUUGAGAGGUAUAGGAUAAGUGGAAGCUGGCUAGCCGAUGGAAGUGGAAUACCACUAAUUUUAAUGUUGUUUUACCUAUUCUAUGAGAUAGAGGCGGGGCAUGGCCCCACCUUUUGUCUUUUAGUAUUUCCUCGAUGGGUCGAUUCGAGUAGAAGACAUUAUCAGAUGGGGAUUUUAGUUGGGUGGCACAACUAUUAAAAGAUAACAUAGGUGUUUUAAUAUGAGCCAAAUGAUAACAUAAAUCUCAUGUGGAACAAAAGGUUAAAAGCUUGUUUGAUUCUGAUUUCUAAUGUGAAUACAAACCAUGAAAGCAUGGCUUAUCGAUCCUUUCGUCAUUCAUAAUUUGAAGCAAGAGGUGUCAUAAAAGUUAUCACUAGGAUAAUCAGGUUGUAGUAACCAAGCAUUCAUAGCGAUGUUACUUUUUAAUCCUUCAAUGUCGGCAGUUCAUAUCAUUGUGAAGCAUAAUUCACUAAGUGUUGGAUUCUUCACACACCAACAAAGAAUGUUAGAUGGGUUUAGACCAUCAUAAUGCAAGUUAGUUUAACCCGACUAAUGAUCAUACUAUGAUAGUAAUUCAACCUAAUAUGAGAGGAACUAUUAAUUAACACAAUUGAUCAUUACACUCUAUUGAAAGCUAGUGACACAAAGCUACAAUGUGCAGGAUUAAGACUCAAUGCCUAUAAGUAAGAAUCCAUGCUAAAAAUGUCACACCUGAGCCUACCAUUUUCCCACCAACCAGUAGUAGGGGAUUUGGCCCCUAGGGACAUAUAAAAUAUGAUUCUUUCUUGUUGUUCAUCUAGAUCAGUGGCCUGGAAGCACUGAAAUGCAGUUUUGAAUGGA